GGACAGGUGGCCGAGUGGUUUAAGGCACCGGUCUUGAAAACCGGCGUGGGUGCAAGCUCACCGUGGGUUCGAAUCCCACCCUGUCCGCCA
rnacentral:tRNA from 2 species